rnacentral:rRNA from 1 species
UACGGAGGAUGCGAGCGUUAUCCGGAUUUAUUGGGUUUAAAGGGUGCGUAGGCGGUCCGUUAAGUCAGCGGUAAAAUUGCGGGGCUCAACCCCGUCGAGCCGUUGAAGCUGGCAGACUUGAGUUGGCGAGAAGUACGCGGAAUGCGCGGUGUAGCGGUGAAAUGCAUAGAUAUCGCGCAGAACUCCGAUUGCGAAGGCAGCGUACCGGCGCCAGACUGGCGCUGAGGCACGAAAGCGUGGGGAUCGAACAGG